rnacentral:rRNA from 1 species
AUUGAACGCUGGCGGCAGGCCUAACACAUGCAAGUCGAGCGGAGAGGCGGACGGGUGAGUAAUGCCUAGGAAUCUGCCUGGUAGUGGGGGAUAACGUCAAGGAACGGACGCUAAUACCGCAGAAUUUCAGAUGAGCCUAGGUCGGAUUAGCUGGUUGGAGGGGUAAGGGCUUACCAAGGCGACGAACCGUAACGGGUCUGAGAGGAUGAUCAGUCACACUGGAACUGAGACACGGUCCAGACUCCUACGGGAGGCAGCAGUGGGGAAUAUUGGACAAUGGGCGAAAGCCUGAUGCAGCAAUGCCGCGUGUGUGAAGAAGGUCUUCGGAUUGUAAAGCACUUUAAGUUGGGAGGCGUUACCAACAGAAUAAGCACCGGCUAACUUCGUGCCAGCCGCCGCGGUAAUAC